GCCCCGGUAGCUCAGAUGGAUAGAGCAUCAGAUUUCUAAUCUGAGGGUCACAGGUUCGAGUCCUGUCCGGGGUA
rnacentral:tRNA from 1 species